UGGGGAAUAUUGGACAAUGGGCGCAAGCCUGAUCCAGCAAUGCCGCGUGUGUGAAGAAGGCCUUCGGGUUGUAAAGCACUUUUAUCAGGAACGAAAAGCGGAGGGUUAAUACCCAUCCGUGCUGACGGUACCUGAGGAAUAAGCACCGGCUAACUUCGUGCCAGCAGCCGCGGUAAUACGAAGGGUGCAAGCGUUAAUCGGAAUUACUGGGCGUAAAGCGUGCGUAGACGGCCGAUUAAGUCGGAUGUGAAAGCCCCGGGCUCAACCUGGGAACGGCAUCCGAUACUGGUGGGCUAGAGUGCGGUAGAGGAGAGCGGAAUUCCCGGUGUAGCGGUGAAAUGCGUAGAGAUCGGGAGGAACAUCCGUGGCGAAGGCGGCUCUCUGGACCAGCACUGACGUUGAGGCACGAAAGCGUGGGGAGCAAACAGGAUUAGAUACCCCGGUAGUCCCUGAGCGGGCUGGCAAGGCGCAU
rnacentral:rRNA from 1 species